ACCAAGAUAGGAGCCCAUACCAC
rnacentral:siRNA from 1 species